CCUACGGGAGGCAGCAGUGAGGAAUAUUGGUCAAUGGACGAGAGUCUGAACCAGCCAAGUAGCGUGAAGGAUGACUGCCCUAUGGGUUGUAAACUUCUUUUAUAUGGGAAUAAAACGUUCCACGUGUGGGAUUUUGUAUGUACCAUAUGAAUAAGGAUCGGCUAACUCCGUGCCAGCAGCCGCGGUAACACGGAGGAUCCGAGCGUUAUCCGGAUUUAUUGGGUUUAAAGGGAGCGUAGGUGGAUUGUUAAGUCAGUUGUGAAAGUUUGCGGCUCAACCGUAAAAUUGCAGUUGAAACUGGCAGUCUUGAGUACAGUAGAGGUGGGCGGAAUUCGUGGUGUAGCGGUGAAAUGCUUAGAUAUCACGAAGAACUCCGAUUGCGAAGGCAGUUCACUGGACUGCAACUGACACUGAGGCUCGAAAGUGUGGGUAUCAAACAGGAUUAGAUACCCCGGUAGUC
rnacentral:rRNA from 1 species